UACGUAGGGUGCAAGCGUUGUCCGGAAUUAUUGGGCGUAAAGAGCUCGUAGGCGGUCUGUUACGUCGGCUGUGAAAACCUGGGGCUCAACCCCGGGCCUGCAGCCGAUACGGGCAGACUAGAAUUCGGUAGGGGAGACUGGAAUUCCUGGUGUAGCGGUGAAAUGCGCAGAUAUCAGGAGGAACACCGGUGGCGAAGGCGGGUCUCUGGGCCGAUAUUGACGCUGAGGAGCGAAAGCGUGGGGGAGCGAACAGG
rnacentral:rRNA from 1 species